rnacentral:rRNA from 3 species
GAAGGCUAUGUUGGCCGGGCGACGGUUGUCCCGGUUUAAGCGUGUAGGCUGGUUUUCCAGGCAAAUCCGGAAAAUCAAGGCUGAGGCGUGAUGACGAGGCACUACGGUGCUGAAGCAACAAAUGCCCUGCUUCCAGGAAAAGCCUCUAAGCAUCAGGUAACAUCAAAUCGUACCCCAAACCGACACAGGUGGUCAGGUAGAGAAUACCAAGGCGCUUGAGAGAACUCGGGUGAAGGAACUAGGCAAAAUGGUGCCGUAACUUCGGGAGAAGGCACGCUGAUAUGUAGGUGAAGUCCCUUGCGGAUGGAGCUGAAAUCAGUCGAAGAUACCAGCUGGCUGCAACUGUUUAUUAAAAACACAGCACUGUGCAAACACGAAAGUGGACGUAUACGGUGUGACGCCUGCCCGGUGCCGGAAGGUUAAUUGAUGGGGUCAGCGCAAGCGAAGCUCUUGAUCGAAGCCCCGGUAAACGGCGGCCGUAACUAUAACGGUCCUAAGGUAGCGAAAUUCCUUGUCGGGUAAGUUCCGACCUGCACGAAUGGCGUAAUGAUGGCCAGGCUGUCUCCACCCGAGACUCAGUGAAAUUGAACUCGCUGUGAAGAUGCAGUGUACCCGCGGCAAGACGGAAAGACCCCGUGAACCUUUACUAUAGCUUGACACUGAACAUUGAGCCUUGAUGUGUAGGAUAGGUGGGAGGCUUUGAAGUGUGGACGCCAGUCUGCAUGGAGCCGGCCUUGAAAUACCACCCUUUAAUGUUUGAUGUUCUAACGUGGACCCGUGAUCCGGGUUGCGGACAGUGUCUGGUGGGUAGUUUGACUGGGGCGGUCUCCUCCUAAAGAGUAACGGAGGAGCACGAAGGUUGGCUAAUCCUGGUCGGACAUCAGGAGGUUAGUGCAAUGGCAUAAGCCAGCUUGACUGCGAGCGUGACGGCGCGAGCAGGUGCGAAAGCAGGUCAUAGUGAUCCGGUGGUUCUGAAUGGAAGGGCCAUCGCUCAACGGAUAAAAGGUACUCCGGGGAUAACAGGCUGAUACCGCCCAAGAGUUCAUAUCGACGGCGGUGUUUGGCACCUCGAUGUCGGCUCAUCACAUCCUGGGGCUGAAGUAGGUCCCAAGGGUAUGGCUGUUCGCCAUUUAAAGUGGUACGCGAGCUGGGUUUAGAACGUCGUGAGACAGUUCGGUCCCUAUCUGCCGUGGGCGCUGGAGAACUGAGGGGGGCUGCUCCUAGUACGAGAGGACCGGAGUGGACGCAUCACUGGUGUUCGGGUUGUCAUGCCAAUGGCACUGCCCGGUAGCUAAAUGCGGAAGAGAUAAGUGCUGAAAGCAUCUAAGCACGAAACUUGCCCCGAGAUGAGUUCUCCCUGACCCUUUAAGGGUCCUGAAGGAACGUUGAAGACGACGACGUUGAUAGGCCGGGUGUGUAAGCGCAGCGAUGCGUUGAGCUAACCGGUACUAAUGAACCGUGAGG